CUGAACCAGCCAAGUAGCGUGAAGGAUGAAGGGUCCUACGGAUUGUAAACUUCUUUUAUACGGGAAUAAAGUUUCCUACGUGUAGGAUUUUGUAUGUACCGUAUGAAUAAGCAUCGGCUAACUCCGUGCCAGCAGCCGCGGUAAUACGGAGGAUGCGAGCGUUAUCCGGAUUUAUUGGGUUUAAAGGGAGCGCAGACGGGAGAUUAAGUCAGUUGUGAAAGUUUGCGG
rnacentral:rRNA from 1 species